UGCUUUUGGUAUUUUUAAAAUAUAUAUGAAAUACAUGAAAUGCUUGAUAUAUAUGAAAUAGCUGAAGCAUUGAAAAAAUCGAAAAAUAUGGUAAAAUGAUGUUUUGCCGCAUAUUUCGGCGAUUUCGAGCAUUUAGAGCACUUCUAGCAAUUCUGAUAAAGAAGUUUGAAAAUCCAUGAAUUUUAGCUAAUACUUAUCAUCACCUGACAGUUACUUCAAAAGGCACCUGACUUAACAGAAGAAAAUAAAGACUAGCAUUCGUUCCUUUAAUGAACAUAAGAACAUAAGAAAGGAGGAACACUGCAGCAGGCCUGUUGGCCCAUACUAGGCAGGUCCUUUACAAUUCAUCCCACUAACAAACAUUUGACCUACCCAAUUUUCAAUGCUACCCAAGAAAUAAGCUCUGAUGUGCAAGUCCCACUCAAAUCCAACCCAUCCCACUCAUGUAUUUACCCAACCUAAAUUUGAAACUACCCAAAGUCCUAGCCUCAAUAACCCAACUAGGUAGACUGUUCCACUCAUCUACUACCCUAUUUCCAUAAGAACAUAAGAACAUAAGAAAGGAGGAUCACUGCAGCAGGCCUGUUGGGUCAUACUCGGCAGGUCCUUUACAAUCCAUCCCACUAACAAAGCAUUUGCCAAAUCCAAUUUUCAA